GGAGAAGAGUAGAGAAGGAUAUAAGCAACAAGCAGCUGGGCAGAAGGAAACAAAGUGAAAAAUGACGGGCAGUGGAAGAAGCCAUCAUUUUACAGAUUUUGUACAAUGUGGCAUUGCUGAACUACAAAUUCCUGUCUUACACAAGGAGCAGCAGUAUCUCGUAUAGCGUAGCUGCAUCCUAAGAUGAGGUUCUGUAACUGUAACGGCGCUACAGAUAUUCAUGUCUCAUCAACCACAGCGAAGGGCCUGUCAGUAGAUGGGAAAACAUACUGUCUCCAUCUUCAGGGCUGAAGGUGGAGAUCAUGAUUCUGGACCAUGUGAUGUGCCAUUACGAACCAGAAGACCAGCCUGCCGUGGGAAUCUCAGAGAUUCUUUUUCCUCCUUACCUGCACAAAUUAUAUUUGUGAGAGUUAUAGGAAACCUAGGAGACUUUAUCAAGGAGCACAAGAUCUCAUCAAACCAAAUUAAACUACAGGCUCAGGGAUGGUCAUGAAAUGGAAGAUGACCUGCACAAUGAACUGGCUGGAACAGCUUCGGAUGGAGGUAGAGGGAGGAUUCAUGUUGUGAUCAUCUGCAGCUGACUUCAGAGAACUUUAUUUGGGCAGACUUCAGGAGAAAGAAUGUCUGGAGUGGGCCGCGCUCUUCAACAACAUCCAGAGCGCCGCCGAGCUGGACGACG